UCCACUCAAAGUCGUUUUUCGUAGCUAUGUAAUGAUUUAUCAUUGAAUCCAAAUUAACACUAACAUCUAUAAUGACUUACUCAAUGACGAUGUACACUGGACACUUACAUUACAGCAGACCACUCAGACCAGUUGCCUACAUUCUACUUUUUUUUAACAACAACUUCAUUCAAAUUCUGAUUACUUAAGUACCGAAACGCUUACAUUUUUUAAUGACUCUAUUUUCAAAAAUAUUAUACGUGCUUUAUAAAGAGUGUCUCAUGACGAUGCUUAAAAAUGUUUUUAUACUAUAGCUAUUAUUUAUAUACAUCCUGGCAAAAUCAUCGAGAGUAUAUUAAAGUUUUUAUGAUUUAAUUUUUCAUUGCAAAAAAUUAAGAACUAAUAAUUUCUAUUUAUAAUAAUAUAAAACAUCUAAUAAUAUCUAUCUAUAUGGAAUCAUUCUCAUAAACAAAAUAAUUUGAUUUCAAACAAACCAUUUAUAGAUUUUAUGCCAUUAUUGCUCUGCGUUCCAUCUACAUGCAUAUUGUGUUCUUAGCUACCAACAGAUAAACAUCAUAAAUCUGUUCAGUAUGACGUUUUUUUGCAAGGUUCGUGAUACCGAAGACGUGCGAUUGGUUGACUGUAUUCGAUGGUAAGAUGAUCGUCGGUGCAACGAUGCACGUGGUCGAGUCCUGCAGUGGUGCUGCGCGUGUCGUCGUGACGGAUCUGCCUGGACCGUGAAUCGCAAAGCGAGCAUUGUCCGAAAUUUUGUGGUGACCACAUCGUCGUUUAUGAGUGAUCUGAAAACCAUCUGUUCAUCGGUAAGUUCACUCUCAUAUUGUACCACGAGCCAAAGCCCAAAUGAAAACUGAAGAAUGACAAUGUGCCUUUACUUAACACUCUUGUAAGUUGUAAGACGGAAACAACAUGUCUAGGUACACAUCAGACAUACGGAUGAUGGACAGAUGGCUGGCGUGACAGACGAGCGUUGCCUGACCACCGCCACUUUAUGAUUCGAAGCAACGAUCUAUCCGGUGGAGGUCGUCUGAGUGGUUGCGUUGAUGGGCGGGAGUACGCGGCGACUGCUGUAAAUUGUUCGCGACAUAAAAUUGCUGUAACCUAUAAUGAUGUAUAAAUGUUUUUACUUUUUUCAAGAUUCUGUCAAAAGCUACAUGCGCCGGAAGGUUAUCCUCGGAAAAUGAGCAAACAUUCUCCAUUCGAGUGCGCAGUUCAUUUGUUUAGUGGC